CGUGGAACAGAGUGUGCGCAAGCAUUAUCACUCGGGUGUUGAUACUGAGGCUCGGGCCGUGUGGGAAGACCAUGGUGCCUAAUAGUGCGAUGGUAAAUGCCAAAGGUCUGAUCCCGUCCCAUUCUCUAAAAGUGACCCUGAACUCUUGGUUGUAAUUCACAUAAAAGCUCGCAUCCCCGAAUCUAACAUAGAGAUCCAUAAAAGAAACGCUAGAACCUUCGGCCCAGUAAGCACAAUCCUUUCUUAAUCCGAGCCAGUUUACAAUAUCCUCGAGGGUAGGCUUGUUAGGGAUUAAGACGUUUUCUCAUUUUCUCACUCUUCCUUCAAGCCCUGUACCGACUGUGNNNNNNNNNNNNNNAGCACAAUCCUUUCUUAAUCCGAGCCAGUUUACAAUAUCCUCGAGGGUAGGCUUGUUAGGGAUUAAGACGUUUUCUCAUUUUCUCACUCUUCCUUCAAGCCCUGUACCGACUGUGUCUAUUCCGUCCCGAAUUUCCUCAAUUAUCGGGGUGAUUUCCAUGGUUCCAAAUCGAAACACCAUUUUCUCAUUGUCCCAAUAACCCGUGAGGACUUCGAUCAGUUCGGGCCACCCAACCAUGUUAAUGAGUUCUGUUAAGGCCCCUACAUAUUUGUUGAGGUCCCUUUUGUGAAAUGCAUUGAGGUCGUUGUACCACAUCUUGAGCAGAAUUGGGGCUUCCACUACCAUGUCGAAUUUGGGAAAUCGAUCCAUACCUACAAAACAAAACCCGGUUAAGAUUCCCCUCCCCCAAAUAGGCAACAAUUAGGUUUCCACACAUACAUCUUUCAAAUGUCAAACAAUAUGAUAUGUCGUUAGGUCGUGGACCUU
rnacentral:lncRNA from 1 species